CGGUUGAUCCUGCCGGACCCUAUUGCUAUCGGGGUAAGACUAAGCCAUGCAAGUUAAGCGUCCCCUAAGCUAUGUUGGGGAGCGCAGCGAACGGCUCAGUAACACGUAGUUAAUCUGCCCUUGGGACGGGGAUAACUCCGGGAAACUGGAGCUAAUACCCGAUAGGUGGAAGCGCCUGGAAUGGUCUUCCACCAAAAAGGUGUCGAGAACAUGCUCUCGAAACCGCCCAAGGAUGAGACUGCGUCCGAUCAGGUUGUUGGUGGGGUAACGGCCCACCAAGCCUUUGACCGGUACGGGCCCUGAGAGGGGAAGCCCGGAGAUGGGAACUGAGAUAAGGUCCCAGGCCCUACGGGGCGCAGCAGGCGCGAAAACUCCACAAUGCGCGAAAGCGUGAUGGGGUUACCCCGAGUGCCGUCCGAUGAGGAUGGCUUUUACCCAGUGUAAGGAACUGGGGGAAUAAAGGGGGGGCAAGACUGGUGUCAGCCGCCGCGGUAAUACCAGCCCCCUGAGUAAUAGGGACGAUUAUUAAGCUUAAAGCGUCCGUAGCCGGUUUAGUAAGUCUUUCGUGAAAUCUGACGACUUAAUCGUCAGACCGCGAGAGAUACUACUAAACUAGAGGGCGGGAGAGGUUGACGGUAUUCCUAGGGUAGGGGUGAAAUCCUAUAAUCCUAGGAGGACCACCAGUGGCGAAGGCGGUCAACCAGAACGCGCCUGACGGUGAUGGACGAAAGCUGGGGUAGCGAACCGGAUUAGACACCCGGGUAGUCCCAGCUGUAACGAUGCGAGCUGGGUGUUGGGGCAGCUACGAGCUGCCCCAGUGCCGCAGAGAAAUCGUUUAGCUCGCCGCUUGGGAAGUACGAUCGCAAGAUUGAAACUUAAAGGAAUUGGCGGGGGAGCAC
rnacentral:rRNA from 1 species